rnacentral:rRNA from 1 species
GGUUGAUCCUGCCAGUAGUCAUAUGCUUGUCUCAAAGAUUAAGCCAUGCAUGUCUAAGUAUAAACGAAUUCAUACUGUGAAACUGCGAAUGGCUCAUUAAAUCAGUUAUAGUUUAUUUGAUGGUAUCUUGCUACAUGGAUAACUGUGGUAAUUCUAGAGCUAAUACAUGCUGAAAAGCCCCGACUUCUGGAAGGGGUGUAUUUAUUAGAUAAAAGCCAAUGGGUUUACGCCCUUUAGGUGAUUCAUGAUAACUUCUCGAAUCGCAUGGCCUUGUGCCGGCGAUGCUUCAUUC